CUAGGCUGGAAGAAGAUGAGCUGGAAGUCACUUCACCCUAGGUAAGCACCCUGUGCAGAAUGCUGGCUGGCAAGAGCACAGAGUCAGUCCCCGCUGUCUGCCCCGGGAUGUGCCUAUGCCUCUGCCAGCUGCUCCGGGACCAGACUGGCCUCUCACUGGGUUUGAACAGAGAGCAGUGCCAGACUCCACCUUAUCUCAGCCUAUUUUCCACAUGGACACCUAGACUCUAAAGGCCCCCUUUAAGUACUGAAAGAUUGUAAGAAGGUCUUCCUGGAACCUUGUCUUCUCCAGGCUGAACAACCCCAACUCUCUCAGACUGCUUUCAUAGUAGAGGUGCUGUCUCUUUACUUUUGUGGCCUUUCUUUGGACUCAUUCCUCCUUCCUGUACUGAGGACCCCAGAGCUGGACACAGCACUUCCAGCCUCCAGCCUGUGCUCAUACUGGGGGUUGCCCUGAUGCACAUGCAGAAUCCUGCAUCUGGCAUUGUUGACCUCACGAGGUUCCCAUGAGCCCACUUCUUAAGCUUGUCCAGAUCCCUCUGAAUGGCAUCCAAGACCUCAGGCAUGACAAUUGCCACACUCAGCCUGGCGUCACCUGCAGACUUGCUGAGGGUGCGCUUGACCCCACUGUCUGUGUUACUGAUGAAGACAUUGAACAGCACUGGUCCCUCUACCAACCUGCAUCUGGACACUGAACUGUUGACCACAACUCUCUAGGAGCAAUUCUAUAGGUAAGAUUUGGGAUGCAAAUUUAGUCCGGUUUCUUAUCUAUUCAAUUGUAAUUAAAAACAAAGCAUAUAAUUCCAGUUAAUGAUGAUUUCUAAUGAUUCCCUCUGAAAUUGUGUGGUCCUUUCUCUUUAUUUUCUAGAGCAAGCUGUUUGAAAACAGACAAUAUAAAACUGUUCUGAGGAAAUCUGCUAUUUGUAAAUCACAGAAAGAGGCACUUGCUCUCCUGUGGUUUGAUGGAUUUCAGAGACACAAAUGUAAAGAGAGAUCAACACAUUUCUUAAC